GGAGGUGGCUGAAGUGGUAGAGCGCUCUCCUGGCAUGUGUGCGGCCUGGGUUCGAUCCUCAGCACCA
rnacentral:tRNA from 1 species